GAUGAACGCUGGCGGCGUGCCUAAUACAUGCAAGUCGAGCGAACAGACGAGGAGCUUGCUCCUUUGACGUUAGCGGCGGACGGGUGAGUAACACGUGGGUAACCUACCUAUAAGACUGGGAUAACUUCGGGAAACCGGAGCUAAUACCGGAUAAUAUUUCGAACCGCAUGGUUCGAUAGUGAAAGAUGGUUCUGCUAUCACUUAUAGAUGGACCUGCGCCGUAUUAGCUAGUUGGUAAGGUAACGGCUUACCAAGGCAGCGAUACGUAGCCGAGCUGGGAGGGUGAUCGGCCACACUGGAACUGAGACACGGUCCAGACUCCUACGGGAGGCAGCAGUAGGGAAUCUUCCGCAAUGGGCGAAAGCCUGACGGAGCAACGCCGCGUGAGUGAUGAAGGUCUUCGGAUCGUAAAACUCUGUUAUUAGGGAAGAACAAACGUGUAAGUAACUGUGCACGUCUUGACGGUACCUAAUCAGAAAGCCACGGCUAACUACGUGCCAGCAGCCGCCGUAA
rnacentral:rRNA from 1 species